AAGAGCUGCUCAGCAGUGAGGAAGCAGUCACAUACUCCUGUGCUGUCAAAGGCUACGAGGAUCUCAGAGCCCCUGAAGUCUCUGUGGAUUCCAUCACACAGACCUGCUUCAGUGUGACCUAUGCUAAAGGGAGAAUGUGUUCUUCUCAGCAGACAUCAGUGGACGAGUCCUGCUCCAUCACAUAUCCCAGAGAAAUUCAUGUCCAGAGGACUCCUGCUGAACACAGAGGUCACAUCAGACUGACCUGUAACAGCAGCUGUUUUCUGACUGACCCUCUGAUUUCCUUUGUGUGGUAUGAGACCAGAAAGUCUACAGUGAAGGAGGGAAAACAGAUUCUAGUUUCCAGCUCUAAUCCAGACAGUUUGUCUUGUGCUGUAAAAGGUCUUGAGGAUGUGCGCUCUGCUGACGUCUGUGUUAAUGAUUCCUGCUGGAUGUUGAAUUAUGUCCACAGCAGAAUCUGUGCUCUGGAAGGAUCUUCAGUCAACAUCUCCAGUAAAUACUCACAUCCUGACUACGAGCAGAUACAGUCUAAAUGUUGGUAUAAAGUCAAG
ensembl:lncRNA